CGGGCGUUGUGCGCGUCGGGGCGGAGCGCAGCUUCCCUUGCCGGGGUCCAGAAGCUGCCCAGAAGCGGGGGUCUCCUGGGACCGGGGAGAUCCUGGGGCGGGGCGGGGCCUUGGCUGGAAGCCGCAGACGCCCGAGCCUGAGCUCUUCGGCUGCGGGCUAUCGCGUAGCCGUCGUGCCUGGGGUGGCCUCGGUAGGUGGCUGGGGGCCCGCCCGCCGCAUUCGGACCGCGAGGACUCGGCGGCGGAGGAACGUCGGGCGGGGAGGAAGCGCGCGCGCUGCGCCCCCACCUUGUGGAAGCGCCUGGGGUAAGCGCGGUGUUGCUCAAGCCGCUGGGAAAACCCGCAAGAUCGGAGUUGCAAAGGACACGUGAGUGAGUGUGUGCCUCUCCGAAUUGCUAACGGCUUCAGCUCAAAUCGUUUCAGGUGUGCUUUGCAGAUUUUUUAAACUUAUUUAAUUAUAAAAACGACUAAUUUAUAUAUCAUUUUUUCAACCCUCUAUAAGACUGGAGUUUCUUUGUGGUAUCCCCAGGAUAGAAUUAUUGGGAACUGCCGGUAGGGAUUAGCCUGGCUGCUGUGCGAAUCACAGGAACAGAGAAGCUGUGGUUUUUAAAGAGACAGAACGCGGCAAUGCAAUGUGUGAUCCUCGGUUGGAUCCCGAUUUGAAGAAACGUUUUUAAAAAAUUGAGCCGAUAGAGGAAAUUUGUAACUGGUUAUUUGAUAGUAUUAAGGAUAUUAGUUUUGUUUAGUCACUUUUGGUAAUGGUAGCAUUACAGUUUUUUAAAAAACUCUCAUCUUUUAGAAAUACGUACUGAAGUUGAAAUAUAGGUUAUGGAUUUGCUUCAAAAUAAUCCAGUUUUGGGGAGCGCCGUUAGUUGGUAAGAGAGGGGGAACAGAUGGGAGGAGACUGGCUGUGAGUUGUUAAUCGCGGAAGCUGGAUGAAGAGUGUGAGGGUACGGAGUUCCUUACACGAUUGUCUCUACUUUUGUGUGUUUGGCAUUUUCCUUUAAAAGUAACACCAUCACCACCACCUCCUGGGGAGCUUUUGUGCAGAAGGUCGGUUGGGAAGGCACCGCUAGUGAUUCCAAAUCCAGGGCCUUACACAGACCCUCACUCUUUGUAAAUUGGGUGUAAAGGCUGCCUCUCCAGACUCAGGAAAAGUCUUCUUUUCUCUCUUCUGGGGUUGCGGCUUUAUUUUGCUCAGAAGGCAGAGGGUGUUUGCUGAGUGUGACAGAGCUGAGCGGAUCAAGUUGAUGCAGGUGGAUGCUGGGUCAGCUUUUUAUAUACAAAGGGUAUUAGCCGGCCUGGGGGUUGAGUUGUCUUCAAACAGACAGGUUGUGCAAAAUGUGUUUCAGUUUUUCUGAACUGCCGAAAUCCUUUCCAACUUAUGCUCAUCAAAAAACAGAGCUCAGAGUAGUGAACACAUCAUAUACACCUAGGCUUUGGGUACACUUCUGGAAGCACUGUAUACAUCAGUAAAAAGUGUGCAUUAUAAAAACAAACCACACUGUGAGUGGAGCUCUGCUUCUUUGCUGAAAGAGAGUUGAUCUGUGUGUGUUGCCCUUCUCGUGUCCUGACCUUGUUUGCUUCAGGCAUCAUGAGUGUAAAUAUUUAGAAAAGAACUGACUCCUAACAAAAUUCUGCACUGUUCUUUUCCUUUCCAAGGACACUGCUUUGAAGAGGAGAGACUGGGGGAGUGAUACCUUAUAUAUUGAUCCAGCUUGCUCGGUUUUUCCCCUCUGGAUUUAUUGUAUAAUUCCUAUGCAUUCUGUGAUGCUUGACUAGUAAUUUGGAAAAGCGAUGAUGGUUUGAGGGAGCUAUUAAAGCUCAGUGGAAGGAGGAAGGGGAGGCAUACUGCUGAAAGAUAAACCCACAUUUUUUAGUAGCUUCAGUGGAGCUGAUUUUAAUGCGUCUUUGCUUUCAAGAGGAAACAAGCCAAAUCAGUGACAUCUGGGAUAGUUGAAAGUUGAAGUGUUAGAUGAAUCCCCUCAGCCUAGACCUUGCCCACGUAGAUUUGCUAGUGUAAAAGAAGUUAUGAAGAUGCUUUGUCAGAUUCAGUUCAGAAAAUGCAAGAGUAUGUCCCAGCUUUGUCACAGUCUAUGGAAAAAUGAGAGAACCAGCAAAAAGUCCCUCACAGUUGGAAAAUCUAGUGAAUUCAGGAUGGUUCUUACAUGAAGUCGCUUGGUUUGUGGUUCAGUUUUCUUUGUCUGGAUAAAAGAAAUAUGUAACUGCUAAAAGUGUCUUUAUUUUCUAUCUCAGUUCUCUAAAACAAGAGCAUGGAGGGAGAAAACUUGCUGGGCCCUUUAGUGACCAGGCAGUGACCUCACGUUGACUCUCUGUGUGAGGAUGGUGGAACUGGACUUUGAAGUGUUGAUUGCUAAUAGCCAUUUUAAGGAAUUACUACACAUGGGACACCAUCUUCUCCCCGCAUCACGUUGUUGAAGGGUAUAAACACAUUAGAAAAGCAGAUGACUGCUUUGUUGGCCUAAAAAUGAAAGGUAAGUGUGUUGGUGGUCAAGUCAAUAAUACUCUUUUAGUUUGUAAGUACUUUGCUUUUAUCUCCAUCACUUCACUCCAUCCUGUGAGGUGGAACAGCGGUGCUGGAGGAUUAUUUUAGUUUUUAACAAGUGAGAACUUUGCAAUUAAAGGAACUAAGACUUUUCAAGAUGCUAGAGAUGCUAGGGAAGGAAAUUUAACGUUUAUUAAGAUUUCGUAGUAGUCUUCACACACAUAUCGUGUUUGUAAUUCUCAUAAAUCUCUUCAAGUUGGGUAUUAUCAGCCUAUUUUGCAGAUGGAAUUGUAGCUAAGAGAGGUUUAAUAGUGCACUCGAGGUCUUGUACCCAAUAAAAGUAGAGCCAGGAUUCA
rnacentral:lncRNA from 1 species